rnacentral:tRNA from 1 species
GGCUCCAUAGUGUAGCGGUUACACAUCUGCUUUACGCACAGAAGCUCCCGGGUUUGUGCCCCAUUGGAGCUA